ensembl:snRNA U6 U6 spliceosomal RNA
GUGCUUGCUUUGGUAGCACAUAUACUAAAAUUGGAAUAAUACAGAGAAGAUUAGCAUGGCC